rnacentral:miRNA from 1 species
GCCUGUUUCAUGCCCUGAGU